GAGAGGAGGUGAAGAAGAACUGUUUUACAGUAAUGCCAUUUAAAGUAAUUCUAAGAAUAGGUAAAGUCAUAUUUGUAAAGAAAUUCGUUUCUAGAGAUUCUGUAACUACUGCAGUGCAAAACUCAACCUGUAAUUACUACAAGAAGAGGCAUUGGUUUGGAUUCGCAUCAAGUCCUACCUAGGUAGCUUACAAGUUGCUGACUAAACACUAUAGUCAACUUUCUGACAAUUGACUACUGAUUCAAUGGACUUUGUCCCCUUGGCUUUUCCAUUACACUGGACAGAGCCACUGCUCUGAAGUUUGUCUUGUUCAAAGACCAGAACCUGUACACUACAGAAACAGCAAAUUACUCCUGAACAAUCACACACUCAAAAUUACAAUCAGAAAACAGUGGCUUCUGCAUCUGUACGUCCCACUCUAACACAUGUUGGAAGAUGAAAAGCACUGUCUGCUUUACUAUUAAGAGAUUAAACACCUCCACAGGAAGACAACCGCCUUUCUGAUCAACAUUCUGAUAGUACUGAUGGUGGUGGAAAACGUAGACAUAACUGCAAGGUGAGAUGCAGCUACUUUGUGAACUCAAGGCAGAAUGCUUUGUUCAGCCUUACCUCCACCAAGGCUUUUUAAGAGAUGACAGAAGGAAUCUCAUCACUGUGUACAGAUAUCUAAUGAGUGAGAGUGAAGUGGACAGGGCCAGGCUCUUUGCAGUGGUGUUCAGUGACAGGACAAGGGGCAAUAGGCAGAAACUGGAACACAGGAGGUUCCAACUUGAUCGUGAGAAUAAACUUCUUUACUGUGAAUGUAACAGAGCACUGGAACAGGCUGCCCAGAUGAGUUGUGGAGUCUCCUUCUCUGUAGACAUUCAAGACCCACCUGGACACUUUCCUGUGUAACUUACUGUAGGGAAGAGGGUUGGACUCGAUGACCUCCAGAGGUCCCUUCCAACCCCCACCCUUCUGCAGACCCUGUUCUUUGUUAAAAUGUUUACUGCUUUGAGUAUAUUCUAGAGACAUCACCUUUGUGAGAUAUUUGCGAGAAGGUGAGGACUGGAGGAAAACAGGGACAGCAAUGGGAAUAAGAAUAUUGCUGAAGUACAAUGCAAAUGUGUAACAAAGACUUAUCUCAGAAACACCCCAGCUUCUUUGAUUUACCCAAAUGCCUUGGGUACCUUGAAGUACCAAGUAAUAUAAGCCAUGGCAACAUGAAGGACAGAGGUUUAGCUUGUGAACCAAUUAAUCCUGUGUCAGAGUUGUAUACUUAUGCAUUGCCAUGAGGGUGAGGAGACACAAAACACAACCAACACAAAAGCCUUAGACUCUCCUCCUUCAUGCAGCAUUUAGACACCAGUAAUAAAAUAAUUACUUUUUAAGUUUCCACAUGCUCUGCUGGGCUAGGGAUAAUCUGGUCAUUCCAGAGGUCCAAGAUGCAGGAGCAGCUCAAAACACUGAAAAUUCCACGUGUCUAUUCUGUGAUGAGUACAGAGCUACUUCUACAGUGAGAAGGCUCCAAAGCAUUAAUGUACUGAAAUAAGAGAGUAUAUUGCAUCAGGAUUUUAUAUGAAAGAAUGUUUCUUCUGAUAGCCUGCUAAAAUAAACUUCUACUAAGUCAAAUUCUGGACAGUCUGAGCACAUAGGCUCUCCACAUAUUUACCUACGGUACUUUGCAGGCUGCACUGCGUUCCGUUCCUCUCCACGCCCCUCCCUCCCACCACCAAUAAAGAAAAUGAACGCUGUACCAGCUUCUUUUCGGCUAACAAAGUUAAAAUAAUCGAGAUACUCGAGCCUUUAUGUGCAAGCACCAAACCAAAUUGUGUGGAAGAGGUUGCUAUCUGCUCUGGAUCAAAUUACAGCAGUGAGUGAAGCCCCACCCCACGUCUCCUUUAGCACAGUCCAUUAGACCUGAAAACAAAUUUUUCCAUGGAGCAGACGACUCCUGCAUUUAGAGCACUUCACAGAAAAGCAGAUCAUCCAGUUUUCACUACCCAUCCCCCCAAGCUUAGUCCUUUCAUCUCAGCCAAACAAGCCACAGCUCUGCUGAAUGUGUUUAUCACACUUUCAAGAGAUAUGAGCCCCUGCGUCACUGAAGCUUUAAGACUCACUAAGCUGCCCUAGUCCUCUGAGCUCUGGGAGCAGCCAUUUUAGCUCAGACAACUCCAGCACUGAGAGGCUCAUAGCUUCUCACCCGUGCACAACAUGGCCUCACUUAUCUCAGCUUCAUCUCAAGCACACCAGAGCGCCAGCAAGUAUCUCCCAGGGUUGGUUCCCUGUCCCAUGGAUGACAAAUGUGACGGUUCAAUCCAGAAACACGGCAUUACAGCAUCAAGACUCCGGUCCAAGCUGUCCUACAGGCAGAGGCAAGGCAGAGCCGAGCCUCCCAGCAGGAGGAGGGCUCGGGGGGGCGAAGUGGACGGGGGUGCCUCCAGCAACUGAGGAGCCCUCCUGCUCGGCGCAGAAGACACACCACCCCAGUCCCCUGCCAGAUUCCAAAGUCUAAUGACCUUUGUUAAUCACCAGCCAGCCCGUCUGCAUCAGCAAACCCUGCCAGCAGACACACCCUUCAACACAAAGGCUGUAGCUAUGCCUUUUAAGAGAGGUUCUCUAAAAACUCCAUUGUGUGGAAGAGAGGAAAAACAACACGCACGCACACAAAUCUCUCUUCCCUCCGCUUCCCCAGCCCCCGAAAAGCUUCAGAAACACCAUCACAAAGUGCUUUCAGCUUUGUGUCUCUUUUGGAAACUUCAGGACAGCUUACAAAAUAGAAAACCAGGAGAGCAAACCUGAAGUUCUAAAAAAAUAGAAUGCUGGGAGCUUCAAGAGAUUAAAAAAAAACAUCACCAUCCCCAUCUCCAGCAGCCACAAUUCUUUCAUACGCUGACGCUUGGAGAAGGUAUCCUCAAGGAUGCUGGCUUUUGUCUAGACAAUCUUAGGUCAACAACAGUACCCUUCUGCUACAAAUCAGAAGGAGCAGUUGAGAAAUCACUAAUAGCUGCUGAUUAAAAUCUAAUGAGGACUUUCUAAUGGGUUCUAGCUUGUAAUGUCAGCAGGAGCUAUCUCACAAAGGUAGCACCAAGUCAUAGACAAGGUGAAUAUUACUGCAGCUAUGAGGAACAAACAUCAGGUACAGCUCCAUGAAUUUCUGCUUUAUGUUUUCACCAGUAUUGUGCUGAAAGCAAGAUGAACCGGUCUUGUGAGGAAUUCUGCCCUACCGUUCCCACAUUUUUCUUUAAAAUUUGGGCAUUUCACAAAGACUAAGAAAAUCAUAAACUGCCACUCUGAGCUCAUAUAUCAAAAGAAUCUGAAACACAAUGUGUCUUUCUUCUUCAUUGUCUGCAUGGAACACGGAACAGAAAGAUCCACCUACCCACCAGGGAAGAGCAUUGUCAGUGCAGAUGUUAAUACACUGGAAGAUACACAAUCCAAGCAAAAGAGGUAGAGCAAGAUUUGCAUGUUUUUCGGUCAUUACCGCCUAAGACAAUACUUUCCAUAUAUACAAACAACACUACCUUCUGUAUUUAAUUUGCUUAAUAAAAUCUACAUUCCAUAAUUCCUUAAAUUUUCAAAUAGCAGCAUAAAAAAAAAUUGAGGAAUGGCGGUGUAGGUGAGAACAGAGUUACCAAAACUAUAAGCUCAAAAGCAGAACAGGAAGCCUGGAGAGAAAACAAACAAACUAAACAACAACAAACAAACACAACCACCAUGAAAUUAAUCCAUAGAUCCUACAAGCCCUCUAACGUAUUCACAACCAAUCUCGAGACCACAUUGCCCAAAGAUAAUGUGAUUUCUAAAAUACUCUUACUAACAUGAUACUAACCUCACCAGAUUCUUAAAAUGCCAUUGUCUGAAUUAAUUUGCAUUUAGAACCUCUUGUUAAAAUAUAUGGCUUUCAUGUUUAAUGUGGAGAAGAGGUAUACUCAUUUCCCUUAGGAGAAAAAGCUCCCAAAACAUUGAGCACAAGAGAUUCUGGAAGCCAUGUAGCUUUCAUUUUAAAGAGCAGAGUUGAGGUAUCAAAUUGUCUUCGACAUCCUUCUCUACGCUCCUAUAUAUGUGAAGAGAACAUCCGAGAGACAGUUGCAUUACAUUUCUAGGGUUUUAAAAAUCCAAAACAAAAGAUAAUUGUGCUUGUUGAACAACAGUCAUUACUGAAUUUGGCAGCAGCCAAAGUAGUACAAAUCAUUAUGUUUAAGUUUGGUUUUAAAGCUUCAAAAUACAAAAUUAAUUGUGAAGCCUAAGGCGCUGACCUCAAAAUUGAGCUUCUGUGGUUGACUACCCACCCGUUGUAUUUUCAGAAGGAGUCAGCAGUGCUUCUAGAAGCUAAGAAUAUGCACAUGCACAACCACAACUGAAAAGGUCACUCAGACCACACACACUGUGUGAAUCCAGCUCAGUAUCAGUAACAUUACAUUUAAAAUAAAGAAAUUUCCAUAAUUCCAAGCCUUCCUACAGACAGAUGAUCAGACACCUCUUCAUCCCUACUUCAUACAGGCAUGUUGCACAAGGAGUUUUCACUUAUUGAGGUGGAGCUGAAACACAGCCAUCUUAGCACUACCCACACAGCAAAGGAAGCAGGAACACCGCCAAGCCUGCUGUCACCUGACAGGGCUCCCCAGGAGGCGCAGCAUGUGUCAGAACCCUGAAGGCACCCACUAGCUUUGCUGCCCAGCACCCUGGGCCUCUGCCAGGCUGUCCAUGUACUAGAAACCCAUUCCAGCCCCACUGAGGCCUUUAUCACUCCACCCAAGGUGCAGGGUUUCCAGUUAGGUCCUCAGUCAUGUCCAGCUGUGUCUACAGCUGCCCUUAGCCCUGACCCCAAGGUGAUGCGUCAAUGCCUAGGCCCUGUGCUGUGGCUUCUGGGAGUCCCAUUGGCCCCUGAUUUGUCAGUGUGUGAACGAAGCGCACUCAUCAAGACUGGAGUCGCACAUCACACUGGAUUCACUGGAAGCUUCAGUGUUGGUUUUGACUUUCUUUUUUUCUUUUUGUUGUUGGAGAUUAAGCCACCAGAAACAAACUACCAAAACACUACAGAAAUGUGACUCAUGAGCAGCUCACCAAAGACGAAAGCUGUUAAGAAAUCCCAUGGAUAACACGACAGGCCAGGCAUUCUCCCUCCUGCAUAGGUGUGGGUUUCAGAAGGCACCUCGGCCUACAGCUAUGGUGGCCCCUGCCAGCGGUGCCACCUGCGCUCCUCUCAGUGCUUGGUUCCACUCACAUACAGAGGGGCUGCUGGUUUGAUGGUCUCACUGAGUUUCUCUUGCCUUAUCUAUUUAUUUAGGAUAAGACUCUUUAUAAAACAAGAUGGCAAUGGAGGAAAUAGGCAAAACAAGUAAAAUCAUAGGAACAGUGCAAAAUUUGAGGAGCUGGAAACCCGAAGGCCCUUCUAAGUGCAGGAAGACAGCUUCAUCUUUAACUUAUAAGAAUAAAUUAGUGAGAAACUCCAAGAGUAAAUUCAGCUUUCAGCUCAAGUCAGGCAUACCUCGUAAACUCAUGGGUCUUUUUCAAUUGUUCUGUGCCAGUCAAGUUAUGGAGAUUCUUGGUCCUCUGAUGGUUGACUUUGGAGUUGCUCGUCCAAACUCAUAAACUGAACUAAUACUCUUUCUUUUCUACUCUGUUUUUUUUGCCAGGGUAGAUGGGGAAGAGGGAUAAGGAAUCUGACAGAACUUAACACUGAUGAGACUCCAUGAAUUGGGUUGCAACCAUUCACUCAUAUAUGCAAGCAUUUGUUCAAGCGUGGGCUCUUGUUCACAAGAAUGUAUGCAGAGUGAAACUUUCACAUUCAUUUAGGAUUUCAUUGACAAGAGACCAUGACAGAAGUAUACAGUCAUCUCUGCAGAACUUUCGUUUUUACUUCUUCUGUUUUUGGAACACCAAAGUGAUGGAAGACAACAUAAUAUGUAUUAGGUUUCCAUUCAUUUAUCAUGAACGAGUCAUAUAAAUCAGCAGAAGUGACGUGCUCUCAAAGAUACUGAAGACUGAAGUAGUUCUGUGGUUUUCAAGCAGUUACAAAUUACUGGACAUUAGCUGAAGACUCACAACUUGUAAUAUGUAAGGGACACAAAGGCAGAAUUAAAUUGUCAAGUAGCAAUACCGGUACUGAUACUCUGAUCCACACAGUUGCUAUGUAUUUAUUUGAAUCAUUCACUUUCAGGCCACACUGCGGUAGACUCUACCUGUGUGAAGAGCAGGAUGAGUAAGUCUUCACUGUGAAGAGCCUUCCUUUUUAACUUUAGGAUGAAUAAACACAGGGAGGUGAAGUGGCUUGACUCCAAGUUGCGUAGUUGAUCUGAAAGAAAGCAGGUUCCCAGAUUCCAGCCCCUCCCUGCUACACCAUGCUGCCUUCUGUGCCAUUGGCUUUGAAAUCCCAGUGCUAACUUUCCACAGCAACUGCAAGUACAACGUUCUCCAGAACAUCGGAAAUUAAAAUUUUGGUAGCACAGGUGUAUCAUACACCACACACAAGGAUAUAUCUGACUCCCUUUAUUAAUCAUCUUUGUAUUUACUUUUUUGUCUCUGGAUUGCCAUUUCCAUCUCUCUGCAUAGAAUCCAGGUCUUUUGCUGAAAUAUUUAGGCCAACUCAGCAAAAUGCCUGAAGGGCUGAGGAAGAGAAUACCAGGGAAGAUGGAGGUUAGGGAUGGUGGUCAUGGUCUAACCCCUAUCUUGCUUGAGAUUUGAAAUAACUCAUAUUAAAAGAGAAAGGAGACUGAGAAAAGGGAGCAGUUCAACUUUACAGAGGAUGGGAAAGGAUAUUGGUUUCCAAGGUUCGACACCUGGAAAAGUCAAAUUCUUGUAGCAUCUGUGAGGCAUUUCUCUUGAGAUGACUUUACCCAAACCACCAAAUCCUCCUACUCUCUUACCAAACUCUUCUAAAUAUUGGACAACAUAUUCAUGAUUGUUCUGUUCUAGCAAAUACCAAGAGGGAAGGUACAACAACAAAAAAAACUUAGUAGAAGUCAACAGAGGGAAUAUUCUUUAUAGCACCUUUUUAAAAAUACCAUAAGAGGAACACUCUAGAUCUUCCUCAAUGUAUUCUGUGAGCAGGAGAUAUUCAUGACCAAAGAAGGGGAAGUAUGAUUUAAUCAGACCUCUCUUUUGCACAUGCUAGUUGGAGCCACAAAACUUGUGCACACUUCCACCACUUGACCCUGGCUAAUAAAAUUUAUGAGAACAACUCGGGCAAUUAGUUUUCAUGUACUGACAGUUGCACCUACCCUUCGUUGUUAGGUUAUCACCACAAAAAAAAUAAAAAAAAAAAUAAAAAAA